GUUAUUUUGGCAGAAAAGUGCAAUAGAUUUAGAAUCUAUUAAUGUAAAUAUUUUUACAAAUAAUA
rnacentral:tRNA from 1 species